rnacentral:rRNA from 1 species
GACGAACGCUGGCGGCGUGCUUAACACAUGCAAGUCGAACGGAAAGGCCCUGCUUUUGUGGGGUGCUCGAGUGGCUAACGGGUGAGUAACACGUGAGUAACCUGCCCUUGACUUUGGGAUAACUUCAGGAAACUGGGGCUAAUACCGGAUAGGAGCUCCUGCUUCAUGGUGGGGGUUGGAAAGUUUCGGCGGUUGGGGAUGGACUCGCGGCUUAUCAGCUUGUUGGUGGGGUAGUGGCUUACCAAGGCUUUGACGGGUAGCCGGCCUGAGAGGGUGACCGGCCAGAUUGGGACUGAGAUACGGCCCAGACUCCUACGGGAGGCAGCAGUGGGGAAUAUUGCACAAUGGGCGGAAGCCUGAUGCAGCAACGCCGCGUGCGGGAUGACGGCCUUCGGGUUGUAAACCGCUUUCGCCUGUGACGAAGCGUGAGUGACGGUAAUGGGUAAAGAAGCACCGGCUAACUACGUG